rnacentral:rRNA from 1 species
GACGAACGCUGGCGGCGUGCCUAAUACAUGCAAGUAGAACGCUGAAGCGAGGAGCUUACUCUUCUUGGAUGAGUUGCGAACGGGUGAGUAACGCGUAGGUAACCUGCCUUGUAGCGGGGGAUAACUAUUGGAAACGAUAGCUAAUACCGCAUAACAAUGGAUGACACAUGUCAUUUAUUUGAAAGGGGCAAUUGCUCCACUACAAGAUGGACCUGCGUUGUAUUAGCUAGUAGGUGAGGUAAUGGCUCACCUAGGCGACGAUACAUAGCCGACCUGAGAGGGGGAUCGGCCACACUGGGACUGAGACACGGCCCAGACUCCUACGGGAGGCAGCAGUAGGGAAUCUUCGGCAAUGGGGGCAACCCUGACCGAGCAACGCCGCGGGAGUGAAGAAGGUUGUCGGAUCGUAAAGCUCUGUUGUAAGUCAAGAACGGGUGUGAGAGUGGAAAGUUCACACUGUGACGGUAGCUUACCAGAAAGGGACGGCUAACUACGUG